rnacentral:rRNA from 1 species
UACGUAGGGUGCGAGCGUUGUCCGGAAUUACUGGGCGUAAAGAGCUCGUAGGUGGUUUGUCGCGUUGUUCGUGAAAACCGGGGGCUUAACCCUCGGCGUGCGGGCGAUACGGGCAGACUUGAGUACUGCAGGGGAGACUGGAAUUCCUGGUGUAGCGGUGGAAUGCGCAGAUAUCAGGAGGAACACCGGUGGCGAAGGCGGGUCUCUGGGCCGAAACUGACGCUGAGGAGUGAAAGCGUGGGGAGCGAACAGG